GAAAUGCGAUAAGUAAUGUGAAUUGCAGAAUUCAGUGAAUCAUCGUAUCUUUGAACGCACCUUGCGCUCCUUGGUAUUCCUUGGAGCAUGCCUGUUUGAGUAUCAUGAAAUCUUCAAAGUAAAUCUUUUGUUAACUCAAUUGGUUUCUACUUUGGUAUUGGAGGUCUUUGCAGCUUCACACCUGCUCCUCUUUGUUCAUUAGCUGGAUCUCAGUGUUAUGCUUGGUUCCACUCGGCGUGAUAAGUUAUCUAUCGCUGAGGACACUGUAAAAGGUGGCAAAGGUAAAUGCAGAUGAACCGCUUCUAAUAGUCCAUUGACUUGGACAAUACUUUUAUGAUCUGAUCUCAAAUCAGGUAGGACUACCCGCUGAACUUAAGC
rnacentral:misc_RNA from 1 species